CCUUGGGACCUUGUAUGUAAGAAAACAUUGAGUCAGAAGAGAGCGUUAGUCAUAGGGCUACUGAAACACAAGGUGACGAGAACUAUUAGGCAAUUGAGUGCAUUCCCUGCAGGGCUGCUCCCACUUCUAUCUGACUUGGGUCUAGAUGACUCAAGUGAUUCCCGAGGGGAAAAUAAUCUAUGUGGAACAGCUGUCAUGAGCAGGCCUUCUGCUGCUCUUCAGCCUCAAUUUCAGCCUGCUACUUCCCGUGACAUCAUUCAGUGAUUCCUCCCUUUAAGGGGACAGUUUUCUCUUGUAUUACAGGUGACUACUUGAAGGUGGCUAGACGAGAGCAUACUGCCACCACUCUUUAUUUGGAGGCCUGUAACCUGUCUUGAGUGUGUUGCAGGAAGACUCAGUUACAGUGUUCCCUGAAUAUGUAGCUUUCCAUUACAAUAGUAUGCAAGCCAAGAUGAAACCACCUCUGUUUGGGUUUCAGCAGCUGUCUGCCUACGGAAGGCUCCAGAGUCCCUGACGCAUAUUUAUAUCUCCACUUCACUGAAGUCACAAGGAACAAACAGACACCUGCCAUUUCCCAAAUCUCAUAAAACAUAUAAAUGGAUGAGACCAAAGAGAGGCAUGAGAUUCCAUUCUUAUGAAGGAGACAGACAGGAAAGAGGGCAAGGGAUCCUACUAAUGCAACACAGAGCUCACAAAUGCAUCCUUCCCUCGAGGCCAGAGUGGCAACAGACCAUAGAGCCACCCUUCAACUGAAGCAAGAUGCCCUUCAACUGAAGCAAGAUGCAUGGAGACUGUUUCCACUUAGGAGUCAGAUAAAAGGCCAGAGGAACCCACAUGGCUGUGCAUAAAGGCUCCAGUUGAUAAAUGGAUAAGCAACAGUGGAAACACAGGUUCACAGGAAGCACCUGGCACACAGUAACUAUUAUUAAUUUCUGCACUGGAGGCAUCAGGAAAGCCUUCACGCUAUAGGGGGCCCUUUUAAGUUAAGAAGUUGGAGAGCAAGCCUCGGGGAAAGCAAAGAGAUAACUUAGUAGAAUGGAGCAACCAUACGGGAACAGUGAGAGUCCAUGGAUCUCCCUGGGCUAAGAUCAUGUAUGGAUUUGGCAAUCUGGGGGUGGAAGCCACAUGUGCUGUUAUUAAGUGGAAAUGUCUCGUGAACAUGUGGAAAGUGAUGACUGGAACUUCAGAUGAAAGUCAAAGCUGGAGAUAGGAGAUUCAGAAGUCACCCCACCAAAGAAGGAAUGGUUAAAGCUAUAAGAACUAAUGAGAUCCUAUUUAUUUGCUUAUUCAAUCAACAUAUGUAGAACUAAAUGCUAAGAAUGUAAUGAUAAAUAAGACAGAAAGGGACCUUGCCCAUAUGGUAUUUACAAUCUACUGCCAGUUCAUAAUCUCCUAAAAAAUAAUGUAGAGAACAAUAACAGAAUCAAAGAAAUCUUGAACGUCUAUAUUUAAGGGGUUGAAUGUAAAAGAAAAGGCCUUAAAGGAGGCAGAAAAAUAGCAAUGAGAAAAGUUUGGGAAUUCUAAAACAAGACAGUAUUUCAGAGGAAGAAAACGCAGGUAAUACAUGGGCAAGUUUCACACACAGAGGUGAUGCAUCCUGGUGACCAAUAUUACAAGGAAGAGAGAUGAUGACUGAGGACAGGCUGGUGGACUUGAUUUGAGGUCAACGGUAUGAGGAUAAUUUCAGCAGAGUGGUGGGAUGGAGCGAAACAGCAGGUGUGUCAAUAAUGAGUUAAGCUUUGAGAAAGGGGAGACUUCAGAUGCAGACAACUCAUUCCUGAAUCUGUGCUUCAAAAACAAGAAAAAGCCCAAGAUGUCAGGAUAUCUGCAGGGUCAAGCAAAGCAUUUUUUUCACGAUGGUAAUAGGUAAAAGAGAUUUCUCUAGCCCGCUGGUCUAAGGAUCAGACAGAGGGUGGAGGUGCUUGAUAAGGAUGGUCAUGGCAUUUUUUGCAGACUGAAAUGAUAUUUGAAAACUAAAUGCUAGCCUGUGUUACAGCUACUUACCCGCUGAGGAUCAAACGUACAUUUAUUUGCCCUAUUGCCCAACUUAUGGCUAUGCCAGUAAUGUCCUCUUUUUUUCCUUAUCAUUUCUUUUCAGCUUGUUUUCCCAAACUGUGGUGUUGCCUUGCCCUUGAGAACCCAGCUGAGGUCUAGACUGUUUCAUGGAUCACCUAAGCUUGGAGCUACAGUUGGGCUGCAAAGUUGUUCCUCUAGUGCUGAUACAAGAACAUAGCUGGUCCUCUUGUUCAUAGUGGUAAAAUAUUUUUAAAAUCUGACAUAAACACAACAUAUUAAUUACAGAAAUGAUGGAGAGAGAAUAAAGCUGGGACCCCAGGUUCUGGCGAGGCAAAUGAGAAAGGUGAGCAGAAAGGACUGGUGCAAUCAAUCAUCCUAUACCAGGCACACCCAGUGAUAUUAAAAGCUCAAUGACAUGGGACCUCACCAAUGUCUCACUAACUUAAGAGCGUUUGGGAGGCCUGGGCAAUUGUUGGCUGCGGCACAAGCUCUCUCAGCAGGCAUCGACAGCACAAACUACCAGGCGGACUACUGCCUUUCCUUCUGGACUGCACACAUUGAAAUGUCAAUGAAAUUGAAUGAAAUACCUGCUGACAG
rnacentral:lncRNA from 1 species